rnacentral:lncRNA from 1 species
AAUCUUGAAAAAAUUUUGGUUUUUAAGAAAAACUAAACAAGCCCUUAGUUUUCCUUUCAUUUCUGAGUCGUUCGAGGCAUGUUGUCUUGUUUGGGUAUUUCCUAUGACCCCGGCUGAGGUCAUGUUUUUUCUUCUUCUUUUCCCUUUUUGACUUGUGUUUGUAAGCAUGUUUUUUAUUUUUCCCCGUCUAAUAAAAAAUCAUAGCAAAACUAUAGCUGUCCUUUUAAAAAAUCACCGAGGGACGACUGGGGUCUCCUAGUUCCCGCCUUUAAAUACCACCACUUAGGCC